UAUACGACCGUACCGCAAACCGACACUGGUGCGCGAGAUGAGUAUUCUAAGGCGCUUGAGAGAACUCAGGAGAAGGAACUCGGCAAAUUGACACCGUAACUUCGGAAGAAGGUGUGCCCUAUUAGUAUGUAGUGAACAACGAAGCAUGAAUGGGUUGCAAAAAAUCGGUGGCUGCGACUGUUUAUUAAAAACACAGCACUCUGCAAACACGAAAGUGGACGUAUAGGGUGUGACGCCUGCCCGGUGCUGGAAGAUUAAAUGAUGGGGUGCAAGCUCUUGAUUGAAGUCCCAGUAAACGGCGGCCGUAACAAUAACGGUCCUAAGGUAGCGAAAUUCCUUGUCGGGUAAGUUCCGACCUGCACGAAUGGCGUAACGAUGGCCACACUGUCUCCUCCUGAGACUCAGCGAAGUUGAAAUGUUUGUGAUGAUGCAAUCUCCCCGCGGAAAGACGGAAAGACCCCAUGAACCUUUACUGUAGCUUUGUAUUGGACUUUGAACAGAUCUGUGUAGGAUAGGUGGGAGGCUUUGAAGCAGGGUCGCUAGAUCUUGUGGAGCCAACGUUGAAAUACCACCCUGGUGUGUUUGAGGUUCUAACCUAGGUCCAUUAUCUGGAUCGGGGACAGUGCAUGGUAGGCAGUUUGACUGGGGCGGUCUCCUCCCAAAGCGUAACGGAGGAGUUCGAAGGUACGCUAGUUACGGUCGGACAUCGUGACGAUAGUGCAAUGGCAUAAGCGUGCUUAACUGCGAGACUGACAAGUCGAGCAGAUGCGAAAGCAGGACAUAGUGAUCCGGUGGUUCUGUAUGGAAGGGCCAUCGCUCAACGGAUAAAAGGUACUCUGGGGAUAACAGGCUGAUACCGCCCAAGAGUUCAUAUCGACGGCGGUGUUUGGCACCUCGAUGUCGGCUCAUCUCAUCCUGGGGCUGUAGCCGGUCCCAAGGGUAUGGCUGUUCGCCAUUUAAAGAGGUACGUGAGCUGGGUUUAAAACGUCGUGAGACAGUUUGGUCCCUAUCUUCCGUGGGCGCUGCAGAUUUGAGGAAGCCUGCUCCUAGUACGAGAGGACCGGAGUGGACACACCUCUGGUGUAUCGGUUGUCACGCCAGUGGCAUUGCCGAGUAGCUAAGUGUGGAAGAGAUAACCGCUGAAAGCAUCUAAGCGGGAAACUCGUUUCAAGAUGAGAUCUGCCGGGGCCUUGAGCCCCCUAAAGAGUCGUUCAAGACCAGGACGUUGAUAGGUCAGGUGUGGAAGC
rnacentral:rRNA from 1 species